AGCGAACGCUGGCGGCAGGCCUAACACAUGCAAGUCGAACGAAGUCUUCGGACUUAGUGGCGGACGGGUGAGUAACACGUGGGAACGUACCUUUUGGUUCGGAACAACUCAGGGAAACUUGAGCUAAUACCGGAUGAGCCCUUAGGGGGAAAGAUUUAUCGCCGAAAGAGCGGCCCGCGUUAGAUUAGCUAGUUGGUGAGGUAAAGGCUCACCAAGGCUACGAUCUAUAGCUGGUCUGAGAGGAUGAUCAGCCACACUGGGACUGAGACACGGCCCAGACUCCUACGGGAGGCAGCAGUGGGGAAUCUUGCGCAAUGGGCGAAAGCUUGACGCAGCCAUGCCGCGUGAAUGAUGAAGGUCUUAGGAUUGUAAAAUUCUUUUACCAGGGACGAUAAUGACGGUACCUGGAGAAAAAGCCCCGGCUAACUUCGUGCCAGCAGCCGCUGUAAGAC
rnacentral:rRNA from 1 species